GAUGAAGAACGUAGCGAAAUGCGAUACUUGGUGUGAAUUGCAGAAUCCCGUGAACCAUCGAGUCUUUGAACGCAAGUUGCGCCCGAAGCCACUAGGCCGAGGGCACGCCUGCCUGGGCGUCACACGCCGUUGCCCCCCCAUCUACUCCUUCGGGAUUGCGGGGGGGCGGAUGAUGGCCUCCUGUGCGCCUAGCCGCGCGGUUGGCAUAAAUACCAAGUCCUCGGCGACGCACGCCACGACAAUCGGUGGUUGCGAAACCUCGGUUGCCCGUCGUGUGCGUUCGUCGCGCAUCGAGGGCUCGAAAAAAUGCUCGGCUCCGGCUGGGCUUUCAACGCGACCCCAGGUCAGGCGGGGUUACCCGCUGAAUUUAAGCAUAUCAAUAAGCGGGAGGA
rnacentral:misc_RNA from 1 species